rnacentral:lncRNA from 1 species
GAUAGAUCCCACCUCGGAGUGGAAAAUAUUUGUUGACGGAGCGAGAAAUAGUCUAGGUGUAGGGGCAAGAGUAGUUUUAAAAAGCCCAAAAUUAGCAAUUUUUUAACAUUGCCUUACAUUGAAUUUUCUCACAACAAACAACGAAAUCAAAUACGAAGCCUUUAUUAUAAGACUCCGAUCUACUAGCAAACUCAAGGGUCUCGAGCUCUAUAUAUUCAGUGACUCAAAAUUGGUGGUCAACCAAGUUAUAGAAAAAUUUAAAGUUCGGGGGGUCAAGAUGGCUAAGUUUUUGGCAGUGGCUAAAAAUCUCCUCACCGGAUUCAAAGUAGUAGAAAUUGAGCAAGUAAGGAGGAACUUAAACUCACAUGCAGACGCACUAGUAGGCUUGACUUUAGUUUUUGAAAGAGAGAGAGGUCGGAUCAUUACAGUCAAUUUGAUCUCGGCCCCUAGUCACGAAAUGUCUCAAGAAUCCAUCUUAGUCAAUAAUGAGCUUGGUCCAAGCUGGAUAGACCCGAUCAUGGAUAUUAUACGACAUGACAAGAUGUCAGCAAAUAAGAUAGAGGCGCACAAACUAAGGAUAAAGGCAUCUCAGUUCUAGAUCUCCCCCAUGGGGACUUGUAACAAAAAUCAUUUAUGGGACCCUACUUACUCUGCAUUCACUUGAGCCUAGUCGAAGAUGUACUUUUGAAAUCCAUGAAGGCAUGUACAGACUACACUCAAGGGAAGAUUAUUGAUCCACCGAACUCUGAUUCAUGGAUAUAGGUGGCCAUACAUGCAGAAAGAUGCCUAGGUGUAUGGACACAAGUUGUACCAAAUGCCAAUUAUUUCCCUAUCUAAUUCAUUAGUUAGCAAAGAACUUGACCCCAUUCACCAGUCCAUGGUCCUUUAUCUAAUGGGGGAUGGACAUCAUGGGGUUUCUGUCUCGAGCUCUAGGGAAUAAGAAGUUUUUGUUAACAGCAACAGACUACUUUACAAAGUGGGUGAAGGUUGAACUAUUAGCCCAAAUUAGGGAGAUGGACAUGAUCAGAUUCAUCUGCAGAAAUAUUUUAUCCAGAUUUGGCAUCCCCAAGGCCUUUGUAUCAAAUAACGAAACUCAAUUCAUAGGCAAAAAGUUAAAGACAUGUUGGGAAAAUUGAAGAUCGAGUUCUACAACUCAACGCUGAGUUAUCCUUAAUGCAACGGGCAAGCUGAGGCCACCAAUAAAAUAAUCAUGAAUGAGAUCAAAAAGAGACUUGAAAAAGGCAAGGGCAAAUGAGUCGAGGAACUACCAAAUAUUUUGUGGGCCUAUCAGACCACAUCGCGGAAAGCAAUGAACAAAACGCCUUACUUUUUGGUUUUUGGAUUCGAAACUUUAAUCUCGCUGGAGGUCGGUUUGCUCACAAUACAGAUUGAAGCAUAUUACAUUAGUCAUAAUGAUGAAGUUCUAGCUCGAGACCUUGACCUUGUUGACGAGCGAAGGGAAAGUGUGUUGUUUCAAAUGGCUGACACUAGAAGCAAUUAACCAAAACAUAUAACCAGAAGGUCCAGCACAUAUAGUUCUCAGUUGGAGAUCUCGUACUGAGGAGAGUUGUUGGAAAUACCAAGGACCCAGCGAACGGGAAACUCAGCCAAAUUGGGAAGGACCCUAUAAGAUAGUCAAGUUUGCUGGCAAAGGCGCUUACUACCUCAAAGAUCCUGAAGACAAACAAGCUCCGAGACCUUAAAAUUUCAACAACUUGAAAAAGUACUACCAUUGAAAUGUAAUUUUUUUGACCGAGCUAGAAUUUAUAUCAAACACACUUGUAAAAGCUUUUUUACUUGUAAGGCACAACCUAACCUAUCCGAACAAGCUAUCCAAGGGGAAAACAAGCUCCGAGAUCCUGGAAUUCUAAUAAUUUGAAAAAGUACUACCAUUGAAAUGUAAUUUUUCUGAUUGAAGUGGAAUUUAUAUCAAACACACUUGUAAAAACCUUUUACUUGUAAGGCAUGACCCAACCUAUCCGAACAAGCUAUCCAAGGGGAAUAGUUAUCCGAGCUCUACGCGAGAUUCAAGCUUAGCCCCAUAAAGUUUGCCUAAGUAUACUUGACGAAAGAUUCAAGGGAGAGUCAAUUGGACUCUAUGCGAGUCCCGAGCUCUGUCCUAUGAGUUUUGCCUAAGAAUACUUGGCGAAUAACUUAAGGGAAGAGUAAGCUGAACUCAAACGAGUUCUGAACUCUAUCCCUCAAGAUUUGAGUUCUUCCAAAGUAUGCUUAGCAAAAACUUGGAAAGAGUUGGCCAAGCUCUACGCGGGCUCCAAACUCUGUUUCCCGAGUUUUGCCUAAGCAUACUCAGCAAUAAUAUGGAGUACACGAGCUCUGACUUUUGUCGCACGAGUCGAACAAUAUGUAGAGGUGAAAAUUCUUGAACAAAAAGUGAAAUGCAAAUGAGGUCCAAAAGGAAAAUUCAUUCAUUCAAGGACAGAGUCAUUCAAGUACAAAGUUAUUCAAGCAUGGAGCUAUUCAAGCACGAAGUUGUUCAAGUACAAAAUCAUUCAAGUACAAAGUUAUUCUAUUAAAAAAUUGCCUAAACUAGGUGCCUAGUAAUAAUACCGAGCUCUUUCAAGCAAGCAAGCCAUUGAACCAUAAAAGAUGUCCCAGCUCUGUCAAGCAAUCCUCGUGGAUAGUUUCCUCGAGAUAAUGGAUAUGAUCAAAUGGGAACACAUUUAUCCAGAUGAUAUCCAUAUUUGACUUCGACCUACGGAAUAGAGGUUGCAUGGCAGCAUUUUCUAACUAUGUUAAAGUCUGCAAUACCACAUCGGCAAGACUAUACUCAUAGAGCAUAUGCUACUCGUAGUAGAUUAUUUAUCAGCAACAAAUUCUCUUUUAAUUGAUAAAUAAUUUGUUGCUCGCAGCGAAUUGUUUAUCAGCUACAGGAGAGUUUGUUGCCUUAAACAGAAAUUUGAUCUGACUGAUCAAAAGUUUCAUAUCACAGAACUUUUAGGGGCAGAGGCUGACGAGCUAGCCGUGCACACCGAGCUCUGCUUUACGACAACUAUCAAACCCCCCCACUACAUUGAAACCUAUCUCAAAAAUAGAAGGGCUUGGGGGACGACACCCUAAGGCCAACAAUUUCAAUCCUAGGGGACAAAAGCUGACUCAAAAAAGGCAAGAUGUUUUAAGAUACAAACAACAAGGGGUCUACUCAAUUUAUAGUGGCAAAAAGAAGGCAAAUGGAUAGCCAUUAAUGAGGAAGGCAAAUAGACCAUUAUUUAUGUGGAAGGCAAAUGGACCACCAUUAAGAAAGAAGGCGGAACGUCCACAAUUAAGAAGGUGGUCGAAGUGGCGGAGUGGCAACCCACGUGUGCAUUGGAGGCACGACGUUUCGUAGGCCCACCGCCGUUCACAAGCCAGUAAGGAACAAACACAUGGCAAUUCCCACGCCGCGUGUCCAACGAAGCUUACGCAUAGGUAUGUAUAGCAAAAUAACUUAAGGGAGAGUUAGCUGAGCUCUAUGUGAGCUCGAACUCCACCACAAAAAUUUUGUCCAAGUAUACUUAGCAAAAAAUUAAGAGAAGAGUUAGCCAAACUCUAUGCGAGUUUUGAACUUGCCUCACGAGUUUUGCCUAAGUUUACUUAGCAAAAAAUUUAAGAGAAGAGUUAGCCGAGCUCUAGCCGAGCUCGGAAUUCUGCCCCAUGAGAGUUGCUAAGUAUAAAUGGCAAAAAAAGUUUUUAGGAAAGAGUUAGCCGAGCUCUACGCAAACUCCAAACUCAGUCCCAAGAGAGUUGCUAAGUAUACUUGGAAAAAAUGUUUUUAGGGAAGAGUUAGGCAAGCAAUAAGCGAGCUCUGUCCCACGGUGGUGCCUAAGCACACUUAGCAAAAUUUAAGGAAGGGUUAGUUGAGCUCUAUGCAAGUUCCGAACUCUUCCUCACUUGGUUUAAUAAGUGUACUUGGCAAAAUAUUUAGGGAAGAGUUAGCUGAGCCCUAGGCAAGCUCCGAACUCUACCCCAUGGAUGUUACCCAAGCCUACUUAGAAAAAUAUUUUAGGGAAGGCCUAAGAGAGCUCUAGGCAAGCUCCGAGCUCUGUCCCACGGUGUUGCCUAAGCACCCUUAGCAAAAAAAUUUAUGGAAGGGUUAGGUGAGCUCCGAGCUCUGUCCCACGGUGUUGCCUAAGCAUACUUAGCAAAAUUUAAUAAAGGAUUAGCCGAGCUCUAUGCAAGCUCCGAACUCUUCCCCACUUGGUUUGCUAAGUGUAUAUGGCAGAAUUUUUAGAGAAGAUCUAGCCGAGCCCUAGGCAAGUUCCGAACUCUACCCCAUGGAUGUUACCCAAGCAUACUUAGAAAAAGUUUUAGGGAAGGGUUCGGCGAGCUCCGAGCUCUCUCCCACGGUGUUGCUUAAGCUCUUUUAGCAAAAAUUUUUAGGGAAGGGUUAGGUGAGCUCUGAGCUCUGUCCCACGGUGUUGCCUAAGUACACUUAGCAAAAUUUAAGAAAGGAUUAGCCGAGCUCUAUGCAAGCUUGUAGUCUACUCCACUUGGUUUGCUAAGUGUUCUUGGCAAAAUUUUUAGGGAAGAGUUCGCCGAGCUCAAGGCGAGCUCCGAACUCAGUCCUACGAGAGUUGCUAGGUAAGUAAGUAUACUUGGUAAAAAAAUUUAGGGAAGAGUCAGUAGAGCUCCAGGCGAGCUGCGAACUUAGUCCCACGAGAAACAUGAAAAUAAAAUCUACGUUCACAUUAUGGACAUCUAAUCAAAAAACAAAUUGAAAAAUGAGAACAAUGCGCAAAUUCUAAGCAUAUUUACUACAAAAAUGAUACUUGUUUAGAAAAAAGAAUACUACAUUGUGGAGCAAAACUCAUAAAUAAUGUCAAAACACACUACUCUUCUAGUGGGGUACUUGGUUUUCCUUCACCGACACCUUCCACCUCAGCAUCUGCUCCUUUACCUCACCGAGCUUGUUGCCUUGAGUUGUGCCAACCUAUUCCAUGGCAGCAACUCCCUCCUCAUCUACUGGUUGAUUCAUAUAUUCUUCUUUAUUGAAGCUCAAUAGG